UACGGAGGGGGCUAGCGUUGUUCGGAAUUACUGGGCGUAAAGCGUGCGUAGACGGUAGCGUAAGUCAGAUGUGAAAGCCCCGGGCUCAACCUGGGAAUUGCAUUUGAGACUGCUCUGCUCGGGUGCGGAAGAGGGAAGCGGAAUUUCCGGUGUAGCGGUGAAAUGACGUAGAUAUCGGAAGGAACACCAGUGGCGAAAAGCGGCUUCCUGGUCCGACAACCGA
rnacentral:rRNA from 1 species